rnacentral:lncRNA from 1 species
GGGAAAACCCCUCGCAAUAAGAAACAUUAUUGCACAUGACUGGACUGGAGAGGGAGAUAAAUAAUUCAGCUGCCACACUAAAUACUGGAGAGGAGCUGACGGGGAGGAAGAUAUCGUGAAACCUGGGCUGGGAAAACAAGCCUUUCUUAAGAAGCCAGCAAACCGUAGUACAGUCCUUAACUGCCUCCAUGGCAGGAACAGCAGGAUGGAAGGACCUGGGCAAAAGAUGGCUGCUCAUCCUAUAGCAGCUGGGAAGCAGAGAAAGAAAGAAGGAGUUCCACUGACUGAGCCUCCUGGCAUGGGAGGAAACAGCAGGCAUGGAGGAGAG